UCUAACUAAGGAUGAGUUAGACAGAACUGUGUGCUUUAAAGCACGUGUCAGCUGUUAGGGUCAAUGAGGAAAUAUGUACAGUGUUGCAAAAAAAAUAUUUUGUUUGAUUUACUGUACGUCCCGUAUUGAAAUAGAAAAGGCAAAAGAUUAUUUUAGGUUGUAGUAGUAAGACCGAACUAAGCACUUUCAACAUCAACAUGGGUAACACGUUGCAUCACAGUUUCCUUGCUACUGUAUUAACAAAUGCAAUAAGCAAUGUUACAACCGGUAGCAACAUGUACAUCAUUUGUAAUAGUGUUAUGGAAUAGCCUAACCCUAACCCUUACAACUGACCCUGAACCCUAUAGCCCUAGUACCGAACCCCUUCCCUCAUGUGGAGCUCGCUCUUUACCUAUUAAAGCUAAGACUGUGGGGGCACUCCAUGCUCAUCAUGAGAUGAACGCCCUUCCCCGCGUGCUGAUUGGAUGAUCUGCCGAGCAAUAAAGAACAUGAACUCGCAGGAUCUGAAUGGUGUCACGUGGCUGUAUUAACCCUAGUGUAAAGCUCCCUUAUUCACCCAUUUCUAACCUGAAAGCAAACGCCUGCUGCAGUUUAUACAUGCUGUUGCUUAAGCACAUAUUGAGUACAUGUUGUAACAUCACUUAUUGCACAGUACUUGCUUGUCUAAUUACACUGCGACAGGACACUGUGUUGUUAAGUGUAACCCAAACAAUUUUGCCCAACCGAAGUUUCAACCUUUUGUAUAGGCCUAAUCGACCACUAAGCACUUGCAGCUGGGCCCUGUACCCUAAUAGAGGGCUUAAUGGGGAUAUUCAAACAAUUAAGGAGACAGGUUCAACUGCAGUAGUCAUGGCGACGAGCUUGAAUCCCUGUCUUUGUACUAUCUUUUUGGUGUGGUAGGCAGCCUGAUAAUACUCUGUUUAUCCCUGUGCAUCCCCUACACACCUAUCAUGAAACCUCAUGUCACAGCUGAUCAAAAGAAUGUAUCAAAAGUACGAAAGUACCCCUUUGUUAUAGUUGCUGUCUGAAAUGAAUGUGCCAACAUAUACCUUUGUGUAUUGUCUCAUGUGCCGUAGCUUUUGAAAGGUCAUUUGAGUUUCCGAUUAUGUGGGGGGGGAAUUACAGAUUAAUCAUCUGCAAUAAAAUAGAUUUUUUUCUUCUCCUUUUUUUCCCCUUCUGUCGUUUGUUUUUU
ensembl:lncRNA